CCUGAAACCAUGUGGUUGGGAAGCAAACUUCUUACCACACAACCAUGCCUGCGUCUAUAUAUAUAUACUCUUCAGAUUUCUUCAGUUUCUGUCUACCAAUUCCACUGACAAGAUGCUUGUGAGAAUAUAAGAUAAUGUACCAGUUGACAAUGAUCACACAGUGGAUUUUAACCUCUAACCCUGAGGUUCCAUAGCAAACUUCUUAACCACACAACCAUACCUGUAUCUUUGUCUGACCGCUAUGUUAAUUAGAUUCUAACUUCCAAACAUCUUACAUGUAAGAGAAAGUAAAAAAAACCAACCCCAAUGCAUACAACUGUUUAGCAGCAUUUCUUGUGGCUCUUGAUGUUCUGAGUUCAAAUCCUGCUAUGGUUGUCAUUACUCUUUCAUCCUUUUGGGAUUGAUAAUGUACCAGACUUGAUGUAAUCGACUGGUUUCCUCCCCUCAAAAUUAAGGACCAGCAUCCCCCAUUCAGUGGGUACCUUGUGAUUUUUCAUCACUUGUACGACAUUGAACCCAGGUAGACCCAAGAAAAAAAGAAUCUGGACGUGUAAGGUAUAAUUUAUUCUCCAUAAAUAUAGAAAAACAAUGAAAUAAAUAGAGUACAGCAACUGGUCAUUCUUUUCAUAAUGACCAUUUAAUUAAAAACUUAAAUGAUUAGAGAAGUUAGAAUAAUCAAGGAAAAUGGCUGUCUUCUUUCUUUUAUGAAGAAAAAAAAAGGUUUUGUUGUUAAGUGUUCAGCUUUUACUUAGCCUUGCCUUGAGAAGCGACCUUAUCAAUAGCAGCUUUCACAGCAGCUUCAUCAGCCACGUAGUAGUGCUUGAUGGGGUUCAUGUCUUUGUCCAGUUCAUACACAAGUGGAAUACCUGAAAUAAAGAGA